rnacentral:lncRNA from 1 species
GCAUGUGUGACAAGAAUGUUUCAAGAGAUAGUCUAUUGAAUCCAUUGAGAUGCCCCGAGCUUGAAAGAUAAUGGAAGAGGCAAUACCAACACAGAUUAAAGACACUGCUAGAUCAGCAUAUAACUGGUAGCAGCUAUGUAGAAUUGUGAAAGUAAAGUCAUUUGGAAGAUGAGUAUAUACUGUUUUUUUCAAUAUCCAAAGUGAGAUGAAUUGAUUAGUGUGGAAAAUUUGUCCAGCAAUGAAGAUUUUGAGCAUCAAGAAGGAGGAUAUAUGAUUUGAUGGGAAGAAAAUGGUGGUACAUCCUUUGCAGAUUAAAA